AUCCCUAUAGUUUAAAGGAAAACAUAAUAGUGAAAAUAUUAAAAUAUUUGAUUGGGGAUA
rnacentral:tRNA from 1 species